rnacentral:rRNA from 1 species
GGCGAACGGGUGAGUAACACGUGGGUGAUCUGCCCUGCACUUCGGGAUGAGCCUGGGAAACUGGGUCUAAUACCGGAUAGGAGCCAUUUUUAGUGUGAUGGUUGGAAAGUUUUUCGGUGUAGGAUGAGCUCGCGGCCUAUCAGCUUGUUGGUGGGGUAAUGGCCUACCAAGGCGGCGACGGGUAGCCGGCCUGAGAGGGUGGACGGCCACAUUGGGACUGAGAUACGGCCCAG